rnacentral:rRNA from 1 species
UACGGGGGGGGGCAAGCGUUGUUCGGAAUUACUGGGCGUAAAGGGCUCGUAGGCGGCCAACUAAGUCGGAUGUGAAAUCCCCAGGCUUAACCUGGGAACUGCAUCCGAUACUGGAUGGCUUGAAUUCGGGAGAGGGAUGCAGAAUUCCAGGUGUAGCGGUGAAAUGCGUAGAUAUCUGGAGGAAUACCGGUGGCGAAGGCGGCAUCCUGGACCGAGAUUGACACUGAUGAGCGAAAGCUAGGGGAGCAAACGGG